GGAGAGGUGGCAGAGCGGUUGAACGCGCUGGUUUCGAAAACCAGUAGGCUCGAAAGGGUCUCGGGAGUUCGAAUCUCCCCCUCUCCGCAA
rnacentral:tRNA from 2 species